GGGCCGGUAGCUCAGCGGUAGAGCACCUGACUUUUAAUCAGAGGGUCGCGGGUUCGAUCCCCGCCCGGCUCACCA
rnacentral:tRNA from 1 species